CCAACAACCACCCUGUGUUGAACGUAUAAUGCUUGUCAUGUUGUUGAUCGUGGCUUAUGCUUCUCCUGGAACAGUCGAGCGAAAAGAUUAAUGGAGGACUGCCAAUGGCCAAAACGCUUCAGUGAGCAAUAAAAAUCACAUUUAAAAAAGGAGUCGUCUACAUGGGGAAGGGAUGAACAUGCACCCUUGAAAACACAGAGACGUGUGGUCAGGAUCUAUAGAUAUUCGGGUCUUGGUUUGUUUGUAAUUGCAAUUCAUAAAUAUAUAUGGCGGAUAUGUUUCUUAUGGUAAACGUCAGUAUCCUCAGUUUUGUUCCUUUCUUCACUCUUUUGAUGUUUGAAGGCUGCCAUUGGCAUCUUGUCCUAGAAGAUGUUGAAGUUUAAUUAUUAUGUGUUUAAAACGUUCAUUUA